rnacentral:rRNA from 1 species
UACGGAAGGUGCAAGCGUUGCUCGGAAUCACUGGGCGUAAAGGGUGCGUAGGCGGCUUGGUGGGUCUGGUGUGAAAGCCCCGGGCUCAGCCCGGGAAGGGCACUAGAAACUGCCGAGCUGGAGUGCCGGAGGGGAGAGUGGAAUUCCUGGUGUAGCGGUGAAAUGCGUAGAUAUCGGAAGGAACACCGGUGGCGAAAGCGGCGCGCUGGAUAUCUACUGACGCUGAGGCGCGAAAGCCAGGGGAGCAAACGGG